rnacentral:lncRNA from 1 species
AGCAGAGAGGCAAAGAAAACACUUGUGCCCUGGGCCUGCCCUCUCCGGGUGUGGCAGCCUAGGGGGAGAAGUAUCAGCCCACCUGAGUCUGGGUUUGUGCAGAAACUUCCCUGGCGGAAAAGGCGUCGUAAAAGGGGUUUAAGAAAUCCCACUGGAUGCUUUCCCAGAGCCUUGGUGUUACGGCGCUCAGCUCCAAUGCACAGACUGCGCUACGAAGGCGCCCUGCGCAGGGAUUGGCUGCAGCACCCAGUUGCAAGGAGUCUGAGAUACCUACGGAUUCUCCAAACAGGAUACCUAUAGACAGCUGAAAAUACAAGACUGGUUUUACACAGCAAUGUCAGAGCUGAAGAGACAGGUGAUAAUCACAGGCAUGAAUGUAUUGAAGUUACUGAGGGACUACAAAGUGAACAUAACUGGGAACAGCACCAUCAAAACGAUCAGCAUUUAAAGAGCAGGGAGUGGGAAGAGCCAAUGAUUGAAGCUGAGACUAAACUAACUGAAGAGAAAAUCAAGGCACAAUUCUUGCUAUAAUAUCCGAAGAGGGAACUUGCGGCAGACGGACUGGAGGGUGGGUGAGUAUCAAAUUGAAUUUUGGCUUCAUUUUAUGUGUGUGGAAUCAGGACUAUUAAAUGGAAGAAGAGACAUAACAAACACCAACAGGCCUAGGACAAUCCCGGGAACCAUAGUUUAGCGAUCUUUUCUAAGCGCCCUCUGAACUCUACUACAUGAGGACUAUUUGCUAAUCCUGGGCUUAGAAUUAAGAGUGUGUAGGAGUGUGUAGACUCCACUGUUCAAUGGCAAAGUGGAUAUUGCCCCUUCUGACAGUGUUUCCUCUCUGAAAGUGUCUACAACCCAAAACAUGCUUUGGCAGACAGUAUGUAAGGGUUCCCAUCUUAAUUGAGAAUGCUGUUGUUUAUUUAAAUAAGCAAAUAAACUGGAG